rnacentral:misc_RNA from 1 species
GCCAUUUUUUGGGUGUAGUAUGUGAAGCAUUUUCUCUAGGGACAGUCUUGAGUAAUUUUAACUCUGGUCUUGAGUAAUUUUAACUCUGGUGAUUGUUUGGGUUGAGAAUUACUACUAAAACUCGUUAUGUUCUUAAUCUUAUGCUUUGUGGAUUUUCUUUUCCAUCUAUCGCAUCUUAGGCAUUGUGCAUCAAAUUUCUUUUUCUGGGAACUUCUAUUUGUGAGAGUUAGCCCCUAUGGCAUGGUUGAGUGGGAU